rnacentral:rRNA from 1 species
UACGUAGGGCGCAAGCGUUGUCCGGAAUUAUUGGGCGUAAAGAGCACGCAGGCGGUUUGGCAAGUCGGAUGUGAAAACCCGGAGCUCAACUCCGGACCUGCAUCCGAAACUGCCCGACUAGAGGUAGGUAGGGGAGAUCGGAAUUCCUGGUGUAGCGGUGAAAUGCGCAGAUAUCAGGAGGAACACCGGUGGCGAAGGCGGAUCUCUGGGCCUUACCUGACGCUCAGGUGCGAAAGCUAGGGGGGCGAACAGG